rnacentral:sRNA from 1 species
UGAUAUAUUGAAUAGAUGAUGAAGAGU